rnacentral:tRNA from 1 species
UGGGGCGUCGACAAGUGGUUUAAGUCACUGGGUUUUGGACCCAGCAUUCGGAGGUUCGAAUCCUCCCGCCCCAGCCA